GACAGCAGUCGCCGCGGGAAUACAGAGGGUGCGAGCGUUAAUCGGAUUUACUGGGCGUAAAGCGUGCGUAGGCGGCUUUUUAAGUCGGAUGUGAAAUCCCUGAGCUUAACUUAGGAAUUGCAUUCGAUACUGGGAAGCUAGAGUAUGGGAGAGGAUGGUAGAAUUCCAGGUGUAGCGGUGAAAUGCGUAGAGAUCUGGAGGAAUACCGAUGGCGAAGGCAGCCAUCUGGCCUAAUACUGACGCUGAGGUACGAAAGCAUGGGGAGCAAACAGGAUUAGAUACCCCAGUAGUCCCUGUCUCUUAUAC
rnacentral:rRNA from 1 species